rnacentral:rRNA from 1 species
GGAUGCUAUCAUACCAGCACUAAAGCACGGGAUCCCAUCAGAACUCCGAAGUUAAGCGUGGUUGGGCGAGAGUAGUACUAGGAUCGGUGACCUCCUGGGAAGUCCGUGCUUGGGCGAGAGUAGUACUAGGAUGGGUGACCUCCUGGGAAGUCCUCGUGUUGCAUUCC